ACGUCCUACGGGUAGGCAGCAGUCGGGGAAUAUUUGCACAAUGGGCGCAAGCCUGAUGCAGCCAUGCCUGCGGUGUGUGAAGAAGGCCUUCGGGUUGUAAAGCACUUUCAGUCGUGAGGAAGGUAGUGUAGUUAAUAGCUCGCAUUAUUUGACGUUAGCGACAGAAGAAGCACCGGCUAACUCCGUGCCAGCAGCCGCGGUAAUACGGAGGGUGCGAGCGUUAAUCGGAAUUACUGGGCGUAAAGCGCAUGCAGGUGGCUUGUUAAGUCAGAUGUGAAAGCCCGGGGCUCAACCUCGGAAUUGCAUUUGAAACUGGCAGACU
rnacentral:rRNA from 1 species